rnacentral:rRNA from 1 species
GAUCUGCUCAGGACGAACGCUGGCGGCGUGCUUAACACAUGCAAGUCGAACGAGAAUCUGCGGAACGAGGAUUCGUCCAAGUGAAGCAGAGGACAGUGGCGGACGGGUGAGUAACGCGUGAGGAACCUGCCUUUCAGAGGGGGACAACAGUUGGAAACGACUGCUAAUACCGCAUAACACAUGGGUGUCGCAUGGCACUGAUGUCAAAGAUUUAUCGCUGAAAGAUGG